rnacentral:rRNA from 1 species
AUUGAACGCUGGCGGCAUGCCUUACACAUGCAAGUCGAACGGCAGCGGACCUUCGGGUGCCGGCGAGUGGCGAACGGGUGAGUAAUAUAUCGGAACGUACCUUUCAGUGGGGGAUAACGUAGCGAAAGUUACGCUAAUACCGCAUAUUCUGUGAGCAGGAAAGCAGGGGAUCGCAAGACCUUGCGCUGAUUGAGCGGCCGAUAUCAGAUUAGCUAGUUGGUGAGGUAAAGGCUCACCAAGGCGACGAUCUGUAGCGGGUCUGAGAGGAUGAUCCGCCACACUGGAACUGAGACACGGUCUAGACUCCUACGGGAGGCAGCAGUGGGGAAUUUUGGACAAUGGGCGCGAGCCUGAUCCAGCCAUGCCGCGUGAGUGAAGAAGGCCU